UACGGAGGGGGCUAGCGUUGUUCGGAAUUACUGGGCGUAAAGCGCACGUAGGCGGAUCAGAAAGUUAGGGGUGAAAUCCCAGGGCUCAACCCUGGAACUGCCUCUAAAACUCCUGGUCUUGAGUUCGAGAGAGGUGAGUGGAAUUCCGAGUGUAGAGGUGAAAUUCGUAGAUAUUCGGAGGAACACCAGUGGCGAAGGCGGCUCACUGGCUCGAUACUGACGCUGAGGUGCGAAAGCGUGGGGAGCAAACAGG
rnacentral:rRNA from 1 species